ensembl:snoRNA
ACCCUUCUAAAAAGCACUUGUUGGGUCUGUGUCCCGUGGCUCAGUGAGUUGUCGUGGAAGGGCAGAGGAAAGCAUCGCUUUUGGGUGAAGUGGCAGCUUGUGCUGUUUAUUUCAAUCAGUGAUGUGACAUGA